GCAGUCGUGGCCGAGUGGUUAAGGCGAUGGAUUAGAUAUCCAUUGGGAUCUUCCCGCGUAGGUUCGAAUCAUACCGACUACG
rnacentral:tRNA from 1 species